GAAUGUGAGGAUGACCUGGAUGAAAUAUCUGUCACCCUGUUGAUCACCCAGGUUUAUUUGAGUGACAAAGCUGGUUAGAUGGGUGUCAUCUUCCUCCCUCACAAUUCCUUGUGUGUCCCUACAGAAACUACAUGUUUUAUCAAAAAGGCCAACCUUUCCUGAUAAGAAAGGACAGUUAUUUGGCCUUAGUAAGUGUAUAUGAGUUGUGGAGAUCCUCUAUAGAUGAAUUUUAUUCAAUCAUAAAGGAGAAUAGAAAAAUCAUUCACAAGAAAAUAACAUGGACUG
ensembl:misc_RNA 7SK 7SK RNA